CGUCCACUGCGUUCGUGAGAGCUUUAUAUUUCCUUGACCGAUGCUCUUUGAGCAGGGGCUUGGAACAUCGUUUGGCUGGUGUGAUCGUCUCGCGUCAGAUGAACCCGAAGUCAGACUGACCUCGCCCACCUGAACCCCAGGUUCAGGAAUGCGGCUCUUGGCUCGUGGUGGACAC
rnacentral:other from 1 species